UUGGAGUGCCUGAGAAUAAUGCCGAAGACUUAACAACCUGCAAAUGUGGACCCAUGGUUUGCGCAUUGACUAGAGCAGGAGAAACAGUUUGCAUGCUAGUAGCUGAGCCAGUUGAAGGGAUCCCUGAAGCAGUGGAACGCUGCAAGGUUUGUGCAUUGACUACAGCAGGUGAAACAGUUUGCAUACUAGAAGCUGAGCCAGUUGGAGGGAUCCCUGAAGCAGUGGAAGGCUGCAAGGUUUGUGCAUUGGCUGCAGCAAGUGAAACAGUUUGCACAGUAGAAGUUGAGCUAGUUGAAGGUAUCCCUGAAGUAGUAGAACGCUGCAAAGUUUGUGCAUUGACUACAACAGGUGAAACAGUUUGCACAGUAGAAGCUGAGCCAGUUGAAGGGAUCCCUGAAGUAGUAGAACGCUGCAAGGUUUGUGCAUUGACUACAGCAGGUGAAACAGUUUGCAUGGUAGAAGCUGAGCCAGUUGAAGGAAUCCCUGAAGCAGUACAACGCUGCAAUGUUUGUGCAUUGACUACAGCAGGUGAAACAGUUUGCAUAGUAGAAGCUGAGCCAGUUGAAGGGAUCCCUGAAGCAGUAGAACGCUGCAAUAUUUGUGCAUUAACUACAGCGGGUGAAACAGUUCGCAUACUAGAAGCUGAGCCAGUUGAAGGGAGACCAGAAGCAGCAGGA
rnacentral:lncRNA from 1 species